CAGCAGCCGCGGUAAUACGAAGGGGGCUAGCGUUGUUCGGAAUUACUGGGCGUAAAGCGCACGUAGGCGGAUAUUUAAGUCAGGGGUGAAAUCCCGCAGCUCAACUGCGGAACUGCCUUUGAUACUGGGUAUCUUGAGUAUGGAAGAGGUUAGUGGAAUUGCGAGUGUAGAGGUGAAAUUCGUAGAUAUUCGCAGGAACACCAGUGGCGAAGGCGGCUAACUGGUCCGGUACUGACGCUGAGGUGCGAAAGCGUGGGGAGCAAACAGGAUUAGAUACCCCCGUAGUCCCUGUCUCUUAUAC
rnacentral:rRNA from 1 species